UACGGGGGGGGGCAAGCGUUGUUCGGAAUUACUGGGCGUAAGGGCCGAGUAGGCGGCCAACUAAGUCGGAUGUGAAAUCCCCCAGGCUCAACUUGGGAACUGCAUCCGAUACUGGAUGGCUUGAAUUCGGGAGAGGGAUGCAGAAUUCCAGGUGUAGCGGUGAAAUGCGUAGAUAUCUGGAGGAAUACCGGUGGCGAAGGCGGCAUCCUGGACCGACAUUGACGCUGAACGGCGAAAGCUAGGGGAGCAAACGGG
rnacentral:rRNA from 1 species